rnacentral:misc_RNA from 1 species
UGUGGGAGCGGGCUUGCUCGCGAUAACGGUAGAUCAGUCAAAUUAUCUGUUGAAUGACACACCGCUAUCGCGAGCAAGCCCGCUCCCACA